rnacentral:tRNA from 5 species
GUGAAUAUAGUUUAACUAAAAUCCUAGGUUGUGGUCCUAGAAAUGAAGGCUAACAUCCUUCUAUUCACC